ACGAACGCUGGCGGCGUGCUUAACCCAUGCCAGUCGCACGAUGAAGCCUAGCUUGCUAGGUGGAUUAGUGGCGAACGGGUGAGUAAUACGUGAGUAACCUACCUUUAACUCUGGGAUAAGCCUGGGAAACUGGGUCUAAUACCGGAUACGACCAAUCUCCGCAUGGGGUGUUGGUGGAAAGCGUUAUGUAGUGGUUAUAGAUGGGCUCACGGCCUAUCAGCUUGUUGGUGAGGUAACGGCUCACCAAGGCGACGACGGGUAGCCGGCCUGAGAGGGUGACCGGCCACCCUGGGACUGAGACACGGCCCAGACUCCUACGGGAGGCAGCAGUGGGGAAUAUUGCACAAUGGGCGCAAGCCUGAUGCAGCGACGCCGCGUGAGGGAUGACGGCCUUCGGGUUGUAAACCUCUGUUAGCAGGGAAGAAGAGAGAUUGACGGUACCUGCAGAGAAAGCGCCGGCUAACUACGUG
rnacentral:rRNA from 1 species